rnacentral:rRNA from 1 species
UGAGGAAUAUUGGGUCAAUGGACGCAAGUCUGAACCAGCCAAGUCGCGUGCAGGAAUAAGGCCCUAUGGGUCGCAGACUGCUUUUGCAUGAGAAUAAAAAGUGGGACGAGUCCCACCCUGUAGGUAUCAUGCGAAUAAGGAUCGGCUAACUCCGUGCCAGCAGCCGCGGUAAUACGGAGGAUCCGAGCGUUAUCCGGAUUCAUUGGGUUUAAGGGAGCGCAGGCCGCCGGGCAAGCGUGUUGUGAAAUGCAGUCGCUCAACGUCUGCACUGCAGCGCGAACUGCCCAGCUUGAGUGCGCGCAACGUUGGCGGAAUUCGCCGUGUAGCGGUGAAAUGCUUAGAUAUGGCGAAGAACUCCGAUUGCGAAGGCAGCUGACGGGUGCGUAACUGACGCUCAUGCUCGAAAGUGCGGGUAUCGAACAGGGAUUAGAUACCCUGGGUA